GAGAGAAUGAAACAGAGUACUCUCCACCUCCUCCUCAUUCUCUGUCUCGCCAUUCUUGGCCACGACACCUUCCUCAAUAAAGUUUAAUCCUUUCAUUUGUUUCUCUUCCAUGGCCAAGACCGGUGUCUUUGAUUCCGAUCCGACGGCCAUGGCCAAGGCUACUGAAUUAAAGAAGGAACUAGAAAAGCUCAUCAGAACCAUUGUCGAUGACGACGAUUAUCUUAUAGAGACCAUCGAUCAAGCUAAAGACACUCUCUGCGCCUUGAAGGAAUUAAAGAUGAACAAGAGAUCAUUGUCUUUAAAGUUGCGCCAAACGCUGUCGUGUCCCGAUGAGUUUAAGUGUCCUUUGUCCAAGGAAUUGAUGAGAGAUCCUGUCAUUUUGGCUACGGGGCAGACUUAUGAUAGACCCUUCAUCCAGAAAUGGCUGAAAUCAGGGAACCGGACAUGCCCUCUCACUCAGCAAGUCCUGUCACACACAUUCCUUACUCCUAAUCACUUGGUCAGGGAAAUGAUAUCACAAUGGUGCAAGAGUCAAGGGUUAGAGUUGCCGGACUCUGUUCAAUAUGUUAAUGAGGAAGGAAUAACAGAAGUUGAUCGUGACCAUUUUCAGUCUUUACUUGAAAAGAUGUCCUCAGCACUUCCUGAACAGAAAGAAGCUGCGAGGGAGCUUCGAUUGUUGACGAAGAGGAUGCCCUCAUUCCGGGCGUUAUUUGGCGAGUCUGUUGGUGCCAUUCCUCAAUUGCUCAAUUCACUUUCAGCAAGCAAGUCUGGAAGUGAUAUCCACCCUGAUCUUCAAGAAGAUGUAAUCACAACCCUCUUAAAUCUUUCAAUCCAUGACAACAAUAAAAAGCUUGUUGCUGAAACCCCUAUGGUAAUUCCUCUUCUUAUGGAAGCAUUAAGGUGGGGAACCAUUGAAACAAGGACUAAUGCAGCUGCGGCUCUUUUCACAUUAGCUGCUCUUGAUUCCAACAAGGCACUUAUUGGGAAAUCAGGCGCUCUAAAACCACUUAUAGACCUUCUAGAGGAGGGAAAUCCUUUAACCUUGAAAGAUGUUGCUUCUGCAAUUUUUACCCUAUGUUUUAUACAUGAAAACAAGGCAAGAGCUGUGAGGGAUGGUGCAGUGAAGGUGAUUGUGGAAAAGAUUAUGGAUGGUGUGCUUGUUGAUGAAUUAUUAGCUAUCCUAGCAAUUCUUUCUGGCCAUCAGAGGGCUGUCGAAGAAAUGGGAGAGCUUGGAGCUGUUCCUUGCUUGCUUCGGAUUAUCAGGGAGAGCAAUUGUGAACGCAACAAGGAAAAUUGCAUUGCCAUUCUCCACACAAUCUGUACAUAUGAUCGAACCAAGUGGAAGGCAAUGAGGGAAGAAGAGAAUGCCCGUGGAACAAUCUCUAAACUAGCUCGAGAUGGCACUUCAAGGGCCAAGAGAAAGGCUAAUGGCAUUCUUGAAAGACUGAAUAGAGCUGUUAAUCUUACCCAUACAGCAUGAAUUGACGGGAUCAGUUAUGCACAAUAGUCAACUAUGCUGAAAUGUAAAUUCUACAUCUGAUUCCAGCACUUGCAAUCAUCAUUGCAACUCCAGCAUAUCUGUGCAAUUCUCCACCGCCUUUCUGUAAAUUCUCUUCACCGAAAUUUCUAUUUCAGGUUAAUGAGUUAGCCAUUGUGAAUAAAUAUGCCUUAAGUUUGUUGUAAAUUUUUGUCUUUUAUUUUGUGCUAUAGUUUCUUCACGGUUGCCUUGCUUUCUAGAUGUCUUGGCUUUUGUCUUGGCUUUUACUAGUAACAGUUUUGGCUUUUUUUUUACCAGUUUGCUAAUAUGAAUCCAUGGUCCCCCAAGGAACCAAAAACAUGUAUAAGAUUUUCUACCUAGUUUUGUCAUCUAAUCACAAGCUUCUACUUGCAUUAUGCUUGAAUCUAGUAAUUGUCACCUUUUUCACAAGUGGGAUUUGGCACUCACUCUUACUUACCAGAACUAGGAAUUCCACUACUAAAGAUUGAUCUUCUAAGUUGUCU
rnacentral:misc_RNA from 1 species